UCUAGCAAACUACCGGUCGGACACGGCCGAACGGAUCACGUGGUACUGGUUUUGAAACCGUAAGGUACGGUAUAGGUCAAUCUAGAGGUUACGGGGUCGUGGAUAAUGCGACGUUUGUCGUGCUACCGCUGCUGGAGAAGACAAGUUAUAUGCCAUCGUUGUUUGCAAUGUACAAAGCAUUCUUUUGGGAGAGAUGAGUGGUCCUGAAAAGGACCGUUGGGUGGUGUGAGGUGGACUCACAGGUGUAGUGUGCACUGACACUGGUGAAUUGUCAUCCUUUGCCUGAUAUGACGCUUACUAUCGUGCGUCAAACAUCGCAUGUAUGUGUCCUUCAGGAUGGUACCACAAUAUACACACUGAAAUCUACCAUUAUAAUCUAUAGUCCCGUUUGCAUACACGGGGAGACACCUUUGGUGACAUUGCCAUGCAGGACACGCUGAUGAUGCUUGAGAUGAUGAUGGUGGCAAUGGUGCUGAUGCUUCCACCGACAUCAGCUCUAAAUCCCAGUUCUCUUCCGCGUUGGCAGCAAUGACUCCACUCUUGCCCCUUGAGAAUAAUUCUGCCUCCCAGUCUUCCGUCCUAUCGGUUGUAACACAGCCCCUGUCCCCUCCCCACCAUAUAGCAGGGCUCAGCCAUUCAAAGGACAUAACGUCAUCACCCCGUGUGCGAGCAUGGCGUUGUUGAAGUAUGAUGAGAGUUAAUACAAAUUUACUAAUGUGUCCUUGUUUGUGACGUCAUAAAGGGGAGAGAGGUCCUCUCGGAGGAGUCAUGGCUGUUGUGAGGUCAUGAAUUGCAUACCGAUGUUACAGCUGUCUCUCACACCUCUAGAUUUUUGUAUUUCAAUACGUACUUUCUUAAUCAAUACCAUUCAAUCCUUAUCUAAUUUAAACAGAUUUCGAAACGUUCGACAUUCAUGUUGUACAUUUUCUGCAGAUGUUUCUACAGUAAAGGACGGGAGAAAGUAUAACCCCUACCAAAGGUAUGACACAGUGCCCCAAACAUAGAACAAUUCGUUCCAGAAGUAUGACAAAUCCUCCUAAAAGUGUAACUUUAGCCUCGUACAAUUCUCACAGAUUUUACUACUUAAAUGACGGGAGAAUGUAUAACCAUGCCCAAAGUAUGACAUUAGUGAUUGUCUUGUGGUGAGAUAUCGCAAUUUCUUUCCACAGAGCGUUUGAGACUGUUGGAUGGCACGAUGUAGUAUUGCAUUUUUUUCUCAUGGCUUAACCCGACCACAAUAGACUAUACGGCCAAAGGAUGGUGUCAUAGUGGAUCGUACGAUCUAGUAUGACAGUUUCUCAUCACUUAACCUGUCCACGAUAGACUAUAUGGCCAACGGCUAGUGUUAUAUUGAACCACACGAUUUAGUAUGUCAGUUUUCUCAUCACUUAAUCCGUCCACGAUAGACUAGCUGACGACCUUCGUGUCUUCUAUCAGCAACGUCACUACCCUGACUGACUGACCUCCCAGAUAUGUUAAUCUCGAAGUCAGUUAGAGCUCGACAGCCGGAGAGUGAGGUUGCCAAAAUUUUCGAGUGUCCACUCACUACGGCAAAGAUGUCUCAGUACUACGAUACCCUUAAACACCAGAAGGAUGGAGAAAGGGGUCAAUUGUCCGAUUGCUAUGAGGAUGAUACUGACGCGAGGAAGCAGCCAGUGACUUUAUCGGACUAUGUAUACGAAGACAGUGUAUCGUUGGAUGGUAAAUAUCAUCUUCAACGUGGGCACUACACCUGUGGGAAACAACCAUCGGUAGUGCACAGAAAGCUGCUGGUCGAUUUAAGUCAGAACUACUGCCACGAAACGAUGUUAUGUAGCUACGACAGGAUGGGUACUUUUAAGGACUGGUCCGAACAGCUGGUUCAGAAGGGUAGACAGCUAGCCCGGAGAGGGUUUUAUUAUACCAGUGUUUCGGACAAAGUCGCGUGUGCCUGGUGUGGAUUACGAUUGUGGAAAUGGUGUGCCGAGGAUGACAUUGACUUUGAACAUCACAGGUUUAGCCCAUCGUGCUCAUUCCUGAAAAUUACUUGCCCCGUCAGGUUUGAUACUGACAUGAGAAAUGCUUUGUGAACUGAGAGCUGAAUUGUGAGUAAAAAUAUAAUCUAAGCAUAUUUACGAAUAAAAUUUGUGAAAUGUU